CGGUUUAGUUCAUUACCAGUCUUCAAUAAUAUUGAUUUAUCGAGUCUCAGUUUCAUACGACAGCCGGUACACCCCAGAGGAGUGGCUCCAGAGAACACAGGGGGUUGGUUUUCUAGCUGUAAGCUACAAGAUGGACAAAGCACUCUGUGUUCUCAGGAGAAAUGAAGUUGAGAUAAUCAUGAUAUACUGUCUCGUGUUGCAUCCUCACCGCAGAUAAAAGUUGCAAAGCAGCUAGCAAGCUUGAUAACGGAGGGGUGUGGAUGAUCCAACAAAUGUUCGGACACUGCUGUUAAAACUCUAAUGACCUAUUUUCUUUUACUGGAUAAAAAGUAAUCUAGAUCUGUCUCCAAUGCAUGCCGCAUUUUACAGUCAACCAAAGAUCAGCUACACGUCGGCAGUUAAAGCUGCACUUAUUUUUUAAUGUUUAUUUUGAUCAGCAAGUGAGUGUAUUCUUAGCAUAUUAUACAAGUUUGAAUGUGCCUAUAACUCCACUAGCAAGAGAGUUAUAUUGGUAUGUAAAAAUUGAAUAAUAUAAGAUUAUUAUUGA